rnacentral:ncRNA from 2 species
AAUCAAGAGCGUCAACGUUCAAGCCCUGGCUUGUUGGCCGGCAACCCUCUCACGGUGGUGGGGUGCUCCAGGUGAUGAUUCGGCCUACCGGAACCCCGGGGGCAAGUACCGCAC